ensembl:lncRNA
CCUCAAUCUCUGCCUCUGGAGUGAGUUUCCUCCCCUUGGCUAAUUCUGUGAAAUUCAAGCAAGGCCCCCCCCACCUUGUACAUGUGCAGGGUGCUCCCCUAUACAACCCCCCUGUACAGGUACCAUCCUAGGGUCUCUGCCUCCACUCAUUACAAAGCUUACAUUCCCAAGCACAUUAUAGCCUCACUCUUGGGAUGCCGCACGAGAUUUUACCUUUGAGGUUCUCGGAAUUCUCAAGAUACCUCCCCAGGUGGGACCCCCCUCCCAAGGGGUGUACUCCCACACCGAUCGUGAUCACCCAACCCAUACCUGUGGAUCCACCCUUGUGGGAGCACCCUCACUCCAUCACCCUGUGAAGGUUUUGUCCAAAGUCUCCCACAGAUCCUCUCAUGGAAUCAACAUGGAAAAAACUGUCACGAGAACAUGAGUUCUUUCUCCAGGCAUGAAAAUGAAAGAGCUACCUGGAUAUCAUCUGAGGACUAAAAGCACAGAACUUCCAGAUGAUUUCACGGCAGAAGACCGUACUGGGGUCCCCUGACCACAGUUUGUUCCACGUUUCUAAUGAGACAAAAAUAUUGUAUUCAUCUUUGAAUAAUGGUCACAUAGAAUAUUGCAAAUACCAAUCAGAUGUUCAACUCUUCCAGAGUUUCUAGAGGAAUCAGAAUUCCCUCACAGAUGCCAUCUACAUCCUGCCUACAGUGUGGCCAAAAGCCAUUUUGGAUUUCAAAGGUUUUCCCACCAAACUUCCACCUUCACAACAUGAUCACUACAUAAUGAGGUGGAAAAACCCAUUUUACCCAGUGCAUUCUAGAGAAUGAAGUGAAAAACCCCGCAGGUUUUUGGGGUGAAUCAGAAGAGAGAAUAAACUGAAAGCUGCCAUCUCAAAGUGAAAACCUCAGAUUUGCUGCCAUCAAAAACUCGGAGAAAGAUAAAAGGUGGAUUUGUCUUCAUGGCAUUUCACCUUCUUUAGCAACUGGUUCCUUUUCUGAGACAUUUGCACCUUUCUUGAAAACUUUGCCCUGCACUUACUUACCAUAAGUAAAUAGACUCAGUUAAAAUCAUGGAGAGAAAGUGGAGUAGAGCAGGGUAAGAGCCAAAAUGAAGGCUACAUUGGGAUUCCUUCCAAAGGGUGUCCAAAAGCUACUUACAUCUUUAUUGACUCUCCCAGAAAUUUUCUACUCUGGACUUCAAAUAUUUUGUUAUAGAAAUAACUUAUUCUAGAAAUCUAACAGGGCAGAACAAGCUAUCACUAAGUCUGUGAAUACCACUGCUGCAUAUGAGCUUUAUCUCACUUUUAUUCUUAGAUCACCACUGUUGUAGUAAUCCUAUUAGCAUCCUUUGCAAGCUGACAGCUCUGUCAGUGCCUAUGUACACAUUUUGGUAUUUCUCUGACCAAAAAUAUCUGAAAUCUCCUCAGACAUCAUUAUAAUCGAUGUUCAUUUUAGAGGACAGGAUGUUUUGUCAAUAACUUUGUGGUACAUUCUUGCCAGCGUUGAAAUCCAACUCUGCCAAGUAAAAUCUGUCAUUUAAAGGGCUACAUGAUGCUUCGCAGGAGGGGCUUGGCAAGGUUUGCCUUUUGUUCUACAGACAAAUUCCAAAGCUCCUGAAAUUUAUUAAGAUUCACAACUGAUACGCUGACCACUUAAAGGGGGCAUCAGAGAAGGUGCAAAGAUCAGAUUUAAAACCUAUUUAAAUAAAGUUCACUGAUGUUAGGUCAAGGAUUUGGAUUUUGCACAGUGUGUUCAGAAUAUAUUCAGAGUAGUUCUGCAAAUUCCAACUGACGAAACAGUAAGUGUCUAAAGAACGGUACUGAAAUAAGUCAAAAGCUGGAAGUAUACUAGCAUAUACCAAUGCUUUAUCAGUGACAUAGACGAUGGCAUUGAGUGCACCCUCAGCAAGUUUGCAGAUGACACCAAGCUGAGCGGUGCAGUCGAUACGUUGGAAAGAAGGGAAGCCAUCCAGAGGGACCUGGACAGGCUGGAGAAGUGGACCCAUGAAAACCAAAUGAGAUUCAAUAAGGCCAAGUGCAGGGUGCUGCACUUGGGUUGGGGCAAUCCCAAGUAUUUAUACAAACUGGGGGAAGAUCUCCUUGAGAGCAGCCCUGUGGAGAAGGACUUGGGGGUCCUGGGAGAUGAGAAGCUGGACAUGAGCCAGCAGUGUGCGCUUGCAGUCUGGAAGGCCAACUGUGUUCUGGGCUGCAUUAAAAAAGGGGUGGCCAGCAGGGAGAGGGAGGUGAUUGUCCCCCUCUACUCAGCUCGUGAGGCCCCAUCUGGAGUACUGCAUCCAGGCCUGGGGCCCCCAGUACAGGAAGGAUGUGGAGCUCUUGGAGCAGGUCCAGAGGAGGGCCAUUAAGAUGAUCAGAGGGCUGGAGCACCUCUCCUAUAAGGAAAGGUUGAGGGAACUGGGCUUAUUUAGUUUGGAGAAGAGAAGGCUCUGGGAAGACCUCACUGUGGCCUUCCAGUAUUUGAAAGGAGCAUAUAAACAGGAGCAAGAAUGGCUGUUUGCAAGGGUGGAUAGUGAUAGGACAAGGGGGAAUGGUUUUAAACUGAGACAGGGGAGGUUUAGGUUGGAUAUUAGGAAGAAGUUUUUCACCCAGAGGGUGGUGACACACUGGAACAGGUUGCCCAAGGAGCUUGUAGAUGCCCCAUCCCUGAAGGCAUUCAAGGCCGGGCUGGAUGUGGCUCUGGGCAGCCUGGUCUAGUGGUGGGUGACCCUGCACAUAGCAGGGAGGUUGAAACUCAAUGAUCAUUAUGGUCCUUUUCAACCCAGGCCAUUCUAUGAUAUAUAUGACAAAGGUAAAAUUGCUCUGUGAUGAUUUUGAAGACAGACACAGCAUCAACAAGCAGGACAACAGAUUAAGAAGGAGACAGAAUUGAAGAUAGACUUCCUUCACAUUUUAUUUUUUUCUCCCUCAUUUAUCAAGACAGGAUGUCCAGAUUUUAGAGAAAGGAGAGCAGCAAGUGGCUCUGCAGGGACAAAUGGGACAGACAGAUACCUCUGGCAACUGGCCCAAAGCAGAGGUUGGACCCCGUCUUUCUCCCUCCCAUCCAUUUCGUUUUGAAAGCUGCAAGAUUCUAGGGCUGCUUCCUGGUAGGCAGACAUACAGAAAAUGCUGUGUCUUCUAUGGAAAGGCAUCUGCUGCUAAAAUCAUGGACAAGACAAUAGUUCAGGGGCCCACAUUACAUCCAGACAUCACAGCCUCAAUAAGUGUCCUGAUGCUUCAGGAUGCAUACCUACUUCUUCAGGUUCAGAUUAUUCAGAUUGGAUAUUAGGAAAAACUUCUUCUCACAAAGAGUGGUAGUGCACUGGCGCAGGCUGCCCAGGGAGGUGAUGGAGUCACCAUCCCUGAGGUGUUCAAGAGCUGUGUAGAUGUGGCACUGAGGGAUAUGAUUAGUGGACAUGGUGGGGAUCGGUCACUGGUUGGACUGGGUGAUCUUAGAGGUUUUUUCUGACCUUGAUAAUUCUAUGAGUCUUCAUUUGGCACAUUUAACCCUGUACUCUUUUAAAUACAUGCAAGAAACCCUAAGAAAAAUCACCAUUGCUAUUUCUGAUCCAGAUGUGUGAAAGUCACUUAAUAUUUUCAAAGGAAAAAAAAAAGCUUAAAAAAAGCGGUUUACAGAACAUAGAGUGAGUACAUUUUUGCUGUACAAAGUAUUUUAUUUACCAGACAUUUCUGAGCAUAAGGAGUGAAAGUACAGUUUUUACUGAUUACCCCUUGUGCAGUGAACUAAAUUGAUGGCCUCUUCUUCAAACAUCACUGUUUUGGCUCUGAAUACUAAGUAAUUCCUGUAAGCAAUACAAAAAUCCCUGCUGAGGCAGAAAGAUUUUAGAAUAAAUUACUUCAUUCAGUUCUGAAUCAUUGUCUAUGUAGCCAUGUAAAAUCAAGACAGAGACAUUUGCAGGUGUCAAGUCAGGUUCUGUAUCUCAUAAUGUACUUUGAAUAAAAUGCCAACAAGCUAUUCUGGGAUGUUCAUACAGUGAUGACCAAAACCUACUCUCUCUUAAAUAAAAUAAUAAUAAAAUGAACAAAAUCUAAGAUGUUGGAGUGCCCAGAACAAUGCUCUUUUGCAAGCAGUCUGACAAGUCCUCCAGUAGAAUUGCCUGCAGGAUGACAACUAAUGAAGUUUGGUUCUAGAAUUAUAAACAUUUUACAGAUGGCUGAGGACAGUGUGAAUCAAGGCCAUGCUACCAGCUGAAACCUCUGGGCCACAUUAAUUACUGUUUGCCAUUUGCAUUUGCUCCAUGCUUAAGGUAUAAAGUUUAGAUUGUCCCUUCUCUACAUGAAUGCUCUGACCCUCCACGAUGAAAUAACUUAGCAAAUUUCAGGACUGCAUUAACUGAUGAUUAGUUGGGUGGUAAGUCAAUUAAGCGUGCCUCAUUUUCAUUACCAGAUACGGCUAAGUACUCCAUUUAUUCAUUAAGCAGGCUGCCAAGGUCAUUAUAGGUAUUCUGAAUGUAGUCUUCCAUAGUGGGAGAUUAAAAAUCUUGUGUCUUUGUUUAAUGGGGAAAAAGAAAAACCAACCAAACAAACAAACAAAAAAAACCCACACCUAACAAACACUGGGAUUCUCUAUUAGUUUUACAUAGCAUAAUUUUCUUUGAGUUUUCUUUGAUUAUCUUACAUUAUGUUUUAGAACUCUACAUAAUUUUUACUACUCUGAAUAAAUAUUACUCUGUAAAUAUUAAUGGGUUUUUACUUAUAGUCAUAUUUUUUCAGAUUUUUCAAAGAUCAAAACUGAACUAGUCUGCACGUUAAUCAAUUCCAACUAUGCUGCAUGCUGCAGAGAUAACAAACAAUAACAAACACUGUUGCUGUCUAAAGAUAAAGGCAGCCACCCCACAACACAUCUGGUGGUACAUGGGAAACUCAUCCAAGAUGCAGGGUUCACAAAGGUGCACAAAGGAAGCCUGGAAUUGAGGGUCUCCAUAUCUGAAGUACCUGUUCUUAUCUUGGAUGCAGUUCUUCUGAAAGCCACAAAGUCAAAACAUUUCACUACAUCGAACAAACAUUUCAGCAUUUCUGAACUCAUUAAAACAACUCAGUCAACACUUCUUUCCCAUAGAUACGAAUUCAUAUGAGACUGACAGUAAAAUAGCACAGAUAUAAAACCAAAACCAAUCCUUAAUCUCUACCCUGAGCCUGCUGAAACACAGUACAAGUUGUUCAAUCUUAGAUCUUCCAUUCAAAGCCUAACUUUGAAGCUUCCUAGUAGAGCAACUGAAACACAAUCACAGAGCUAUGGUAAUUUUAUGGUAAAAAUCAGUACAUCUAAUGGAAAACUAGUUAGCUGAAAAAGGAAUCAGGAUUUCUGUCAUAGGGAACCCCUAUUUCUAUGAAGCAAUUCAGAAGGAGGUAACAGCAGAACCAUGGUGUGGCUACUUCAGAGACUGAUGCAAAAUCCUUCCCUUCUCUGUCCACUUUCUCCAUCCCUCUCACUUAGUCUCUACAUACAAAUAUGUAUUUUAAGUGUACAGUGAAAAUAUUGAGAGAAAAUGUUUUGAAAGACAAAUCAACAUCUGUCAACAAGAUUCUCUUUAAUGACUCUGCCUCUUCAAUAUUUGAGUAUAAAUAAAAUUAAGGAGUUCACAUAUUUCUGAGUCAAUGGCUACCAGUGAUCUCAUGCAGCCUUCAGCUAAAGAUUUUCAUAUUUGAUGUACUGAUGCUGGAUAAAAAAUUGUGAUCACUUCUCAAACUAUUCAGCAGAAUAUUAAAUAAAUAGCAGAAUAAAACAUAUAUAAGGAUUGAAAAACACUUAGAAAUAAAACUGAGUUAUUUGUGCAGCCACAUGAAAGUUAUAAUCUGAUAAUUUCCAGAGAUGACUUAUACUUCAACAAUAC